GGGGGGGGGGGGGGGGGGGGGGGGGGGGGGGGGGGCGGGGGGGGUGGUGGCGUCGGGCCUGAGGGAGCGGCGGACGGGGGCGUAGCGCGCGUGCAACCUGCCGUUGUCCGGGGGGUAGCCUUUCGCAAGGAAGCUGAAUACUCCAUAAUCUCUUGCACGGCCUCGUUGAAUCUUGACAGCUCCGGCGGACAGAGAUGGGCACGCGCCAGAUUCGCUAGUUUGUGAGUUACCGGCUCCCCAAGGCGAUGCUCUUUAGGGGGCCUGAGAGGGUGAUCCCCCACACGGGUGCUGAGACACGGACCAGACUCCUACGGGAGGCAGCAGUGAGGAAGAUUGGUCAAUGGGUGCAAGCCUGAACCAGCCAUCCCGCGUGAAGGACGACUGCCCUAUGGGUUGUAAACUUCUUUUGUAUAGGGAUAAACCUACCCUCGAGAGGGUAGCUGAAGGUACUAUACGAAUAAGCACCGGCUAACUCCGUG
rnacentral:rRNA from 1 species